rnacentral:rRNA from 1 species
UACGGAGGGAGCUAGCGUUGUUCGGAAUUACUGGGCGUAAAGCGCACGUAGGCGGCUUUGUAAGUUAGAGGUGAAAGCCCGGGGCUCAACCCCGGAAAUUGGCCUUUAAGACUGCAUCGCUUGAAUCCGGGAGAGGUGAGUGGAAUUCCUGGUGUAGCGGUGAAAUGCGCAGAUAUACAGGAGGAACACCAAUUGCGAAGGCAGCUCGCUGGGACGUUACUGACGCUGAGACGCGAAAGCGUGGGGAGCAAACAGGAU